AUGGCAUGGUGAGGCUAUUUUCUAAGUAUUUAAUUGAAUCUCUCACAACUCUCAUAAAUGUAUUCUCCUUCUAACUGAGUAAAAUAAGUAUUGUCUUUUUUAAGUUU